rnacentral:rRNA from 1 species
UGCUUCCUACGGGGCGCAGCAGUGAGGAAUAUUGGUCAAUGGACGAGAGUCUGAACCAGCCAAGUAGCGUGAAGGAUGACUGCCCUAUGGGUUGUAAACUUCUUUUAUAUGGGAAUAAAACGUUCCACGUGUGGGAUUUUGUAUGUACCAUAUGAAUAAGGAUCGGCUAACUCCGUGCCAGCAGCCGCGGUAAUACGGAGGAUGCGAGCGUUAUCCGGAUUUAUUGGGUUUAAAGGGUGCGCAGGCGGAAUGUCAAGUCAGCGGUAAAAUUUCGGGGCUCAACCCCGUCGUGCCGUUGAAACUGG